rnacentral:rRNA from 1 species
AUUGAACGCUGGCGGCAUGCCUUACACAUGCAAGUCGAGCGGUAGCACAGAGAGCUUGCUCUCGGGUGACGAGCGGCGGACGGGUGAGUAAUGUCUGGGAAACUGCCUGAUGGAGGGGGAUAACUACUGGAAACGGUAGCUAAUACCGCAUAACGUCGCAAGACCAAAGAGGGGGACCUUCGGGCCUCUUGCCAUCAGAUGUGCCCAGAUGGGAUUAGCUAGUAGGUGGGGUAAUGGCUCACCUAGGCGACGAUCCCUAGCUGGUCUGAGAGGAUGACCAGCCACACUGGAACUGAGACACGGUCCAGACUCCUACGGGAGGCAGCAGUGGGGAAUAUUGCACAAUGGGCGCAAGCCUGAUGCAGCCAUGCCGCGUGUAUGAAGAAGGCCUUCGGGUUGUAAAGUACUUUCAGCGGGGAGGAAGGUGCUGAGGUUAAUAACCUCAGCAAUUGACGUUACCCGCAGAAGAAGCACCGGCUAACUCCGUGCCAGCCGCCGCCGUAAGAC